rnacentral:misc_RNA from 1 species
UUUCCGUAGGUGAACCUGCGGAAGGAUCAUUAACACGAACAAAAUGUUCUAAAACCUUUUUGGAUCAACGCCAACCUUUGAAAAGGCGUACCUAGUUGUAUUUUUCUCCUUUUUCUAUUUUGUUUUUCUCAAACGCAACUUCUCAUGGAAAUUGACUAGAAUCGUGUGAUUUGUUCCAAUCCUAUCACCUCUUUCUCCUCUCCUCUCCUCUCCUCGUGAGAUGAGAUGGGAUGUGAGAUGGGAGAUGGGGGGUGGGUUUGGAACUAACCAUUCCUAACGCUAAAACAACUCUUAACAACGGAUAUCUUGGCUCUC